AUUGAACGCUGGCGGCAGGCCUAACACAUGCAAGUCGAACGGUAACAGGAAGAAGCUUGCUUCUUUGCUGACGAGUGGCGGACGGGUGAGUAAUGUCUGGGAAACUGCCUGAUGGAGGGGGAUAACUACUGGAAACGGUAGCUAAUACCGCAUAACGUCGCAAGACCAAAGAGGGGGACCUUCGGGCCUCUUGCCAUCGGAUGUGCCCAGAUGGGAUUAGCUAGUAGGUGGGGUAACGGUUCACCUAGGCGACGAUCCCUAGCUGGUCUGAGAGGAUGACCAGCCACACUGGAACUGAGACACGGUCCAGACUCCUACGGGAGGCAGCAGUGGGGAAUAUUGCGCAAUGGGCGCAAGCCUGAUGCAGCCAUGCCGCGUGUAUGAAGAAGGCCUUCGGGUUGUAAAGUACUUUCAGCGGGGAGGAAGGGAGUAAAGUUAAUACCUUUGCUCAUUGACGUUACCCGCAGAAGAAGCACCGGCUAACUCCGUG
rnacentral:rRNA from 1 species